AAGAAGUGUAAAAUUUGAUACUAAAGUGACACAACGGAAACACUGCAUAUGAUAUCGACGGGAAGUUAUCCCAGUACAACUUUGCAUAGCAAUGCUAUUCAGAACAUCUGACCUGCACUGAAAAUAUUUCAUUUUACAAAAAUUUAUUUCACAAUGUUUGUCGCAUAAUUUUGUUUGCCAAUGAACCUUCAAAAACGAAGGCAGUUGCAAAACUGAACACAUUGUUUUAAAGAACUCCCCACUACAUGACUACUAAUACUUUUGGCUGCUUUUUACACCCAGUUGGGAACUGGCAUACUUGCAUACUUUUUACAUAAGUUGCAGGCUGUAUACCUGAAAAAUCUUAAGCAAUUGAAAGAAGCCUGUAUGAUCUUACUACAGACAAUUCCCGGCAGUUUUGAUAUGGACAACUUUGAGAGAAAUCUUUUGACUAAAUUCCCC
rnacentral:sRNA from 1 species